rnacentral:piRNA from 1 species
UUUUGAUGAGUAAUUUACAAAUUAAGGAGUG